rnacentral:rRNA from 1 species
GUGAGGAAUAUUGGUCAAUGGGCGCAAGCCUGAACCAGCCAUCCCGCGUGCAGGAAGACGGCGCUAUGCGUUGUAAACUGCUUUUCCAGGGAGAGAAACUUGCGCACGUGUUGCGCAAUUGACGGUACCCUGGGAAUAAGCAUCGGCUAACUCCGUGCCAGCAGCCGCGGUAAUACGGAGGAUGCGAGCGUUAUCCGGAUUCAUUGGGUUUAAAGGGUGCGUAGGCGGACUAUUAAGUCAGUGGUGAAAUCCUGCAGCUUAACUGCAGAACUGCCAUUGAUACUGAUAGCCUUGAGUUUGGUUAAGGUAGGCGGAAUGUGUAAUGUAGCGGUGAAAUGCUUAGAUAUUACACAGAACACCUAUUGCGUAGGCAGCUUACUGAGCCGACACUGACGCUGAGGCACGAAAGCGUGGGGAUCGAACAGGAUUAGAUACCCGGGUAGUCC